rnacentral:rRNA from 1 species
GUAAACGAUGUCGACUUGGAGGUUGUGCCCUUGAGGCGUGGCUUCCGGAGCUAACGCGUUAAGUCGACCGCCUGGGGAGUACGGCCGCAAGGUUAAAACUCAAAUGAAUUGACGGGGGCCCGCACAAGCGGUGGAGCAUGUGGUUUAAUUCGAUGCAACGCGAAGAACCUUACCUGGUCUUGACAUCCACAGAACUUUCCAGAGAUGGAUUGGUGCCUUCGGGAACUGUGAGACAGGUGCUGCAUGGCUGUCGUCGGCUCGUGUUGUGAAAUGUUGGGUUAAGUCCCGCAACGAGCGCAACCCUUAUCCUUUGUUGCCAGCGGUCCGGCCGGGAACUCAAAGGAGACUGCCAGUGAUAAACUGGAGGAAGGUGGGGAUGACGUCAAGUCAUCAUGGCCCUUACGACCAGGGCUGCACACGUGCUACAAUGGCGCAUACAAAGAGAAGCGACCUCGCGAGAGCAAGCGGACCUCAUAAAGUGCGUCGUAGUCCGGAUUGGAGUCUGCAACUCGACUCCAUGAAGUCGGAAUCGCUAGUAAUCGUGGAUCAGAAUGCCACGG